GGGCCUAUAGCUCAGUUGGUUAGAGCACCUGACUCAUAAUCAGGUGGUCCCAGGUUCAAGUCCUGGUGGGCCCA
rnacentral:tRNA from 8 species